rnacentral:rRNA from 1 species
GUGGAGCAUGUGGUUUAAUUMGAAGCARCGCGAAGAACCUUACCAGGUCUUGACAUCCUSUGACAAUCCUAGAGAUAGGACGUCCCCUUCGGGGGCAGAGUGMCAGGUGGUGCAUGGUUGUCGUCASCUCGUGUMGUGAGAUGUUGGGUUAAGUCCCGCAAMGAGCGCAACCCUUGAUSUUAGUUSCCAGCAUUCAGUUGGGCACUMUAAGGUGACUGCCGGUGACAAACCGGAGGAAGGYGGGGAUGACGUCAAAUCAUCAUGCCCCUUAUGACCUGGGCUACACACGUGCUACAAUGGACAGAACAAAGGGCAGCGAAACCGCGAGGUUAAGCCAAUCCCACAAAUCUGUUCUCAGUUCGGAUCGCAGUCUGCAACUCGACUGCGUGAAGCUGGAAUCGCUAGUAAUCGCGGAUCAGCAUGCCGCGGUGAAUACGUUCCCGGGCCUUGUACACACCGCCCGUCACACCACGAGAGUUUGUAACACCCGAAGUCGGUGAGGUAAAACCCUUUUWC